GAUGAACGCUGGCGGCGUGCCUAAUACAUGCAAGUCGAGCGAACAGACGAGGAGCUUGCUCCUCUGACGUUAGCGGCGGACGGGUGAGUAACACGUGGAUAACCUACCUAUAAGACUGGGAUAACUUCGGGAAACCGGAGCUAAUACCGGAUAAUAUAUUGAACCGCAUGGUUCAAUAGUGAAAGACGGUUUUGCUGUCACUUAUAGAUGGAUCCGCGCCGCAUUGGCUAGUUGGUAAGGUAACGGCUUACCAAGGCAACGAUGCGUAGCCGACCUGAGAGGGUGAUCGGCCACACUGGAACUGAGACACGGUCCAGACUCCUACGGGAGGCAGCAGUAGGGAAUCUUCCGCAAUGGGCGAAAGCUUGACGGAGCAACGUCGCGUGAGUGAUGAAGGUCUUCGGAUCGUAAAACUCUGUUAUUAGGGAAGAACAAAUGUGUAAGUAACUAUGCACGUCUUGACGGUACCUAAUCAGAAAGCCACGGCUAACUACGUG
rnacentral:rRNA from 1 species